UACGUAGGGUCCAAGCGUUGUCCGGAAUUAUUGGGCGUAAAGAGCUCGUAGGCGGUCUGUUGCGUCGGGUGUGAAAACCCGCGGCUUAACUGUGGGCUUGCAGCUGAUACGGGCGGGCUAGAGUUCGGUAGGGGAGACUGGAAUUCCUGGUGUAGCGGUGAAAUGCGCAGAUAUCAGGAGGAACACCGGUGGCGAAGGCGGGUCUCUGGGCCGAUACUGACGCUGAGGAGCGAAAGCGUGGGGAGCGAACAGG
rnacentral:rRNA from 1 species